rnacentral:rRNA from 1 species
GAUGAACGCUGGCGGCGUGCCUAAUACAUGCAAGUCGAGCGAACAGACGAGGAGCUUGCUCCUCUGACGUUAGCGGCGGACGGGUGAGUAACACGUGGAUAACCUACCUAUAAGACUGGGAUAACUUCGGGAAACCGGAGCUAAUACCGGAUAAUAUAUUGAACCGCAUGGUUCAAUAGUGAAAGACGGUUUUGCUGUCACUUAUAGAUGGAUCCGCGCCGCAUUAGCUAGUUGGUAAGGUAACGGCUUACCAAGGCAACGAUGCGUAGCCGACCUGAGAGGGUGAUCGGCCACACUGGAACUGAGACACGGUCCAGACUCCUACGGGAGGCAGCAGUAGGGAACCUUCCGCAAUGGGCGAAAGCUUGACGGAGCAACGCCGAGUGAGUGAUGAAGGUCUUCGGAUCGUAAAACUCUGUUAUUAGGGAAGAACAAAUGUGUAAGUAACUAUGCACGUCUUGACGGUACCUAAUCAGAAAGCCACGGCUAACUACGUG